rnacentral:misc_RNA from 1 species
UGGUCGUGUGUGACAUGAGGG